rnacentral:rRNA from 1 species
UACGGGGGUGCAAGCGUUGUUCGGAAUUAUUGGGCGUAAAGAGCGUGUAGGCGGCCUGAUGUGUCAGAUGUGAAAGCCCUGGGCUUAACCCAGGAAGUGCAUUUGAAACUGUCAGGCUUGAGUAGGGGAGAUGGAAGUGGAAUUCCUGGUGUAGAGGUGAAAUUCGUAGAUAUCAGGAGGAACACCGGUGGCGAAGGCGACUUCCUGGCCCUAUACUGACGCUGAGACGCGAGAGCGUGGGUAGCAAACAGGAUUAGAUACCCUGGUAGUCCACGCCGUAAACGAUGUUCACUAGGUGUUGGGGGUAUUGACCCCCUCAGUGCCGGAGCUAACGCGUUAAGUGAACCGCCUGGGGAGUACGGUCGCAAGACUAAAACUCAAAGGAAUUGACGGGGGCCCGCACAAGCGGUGGAGCAUGUGGUUUAAUUCGAUGCAACGCGAAGAACCUUACCUGGGCUUGACAUCCACGGAACCUGCUGGAAACAGCANGGUGCCCUUCGGGGAACCGUGAGACAGGUGCUGCAUGGCUGUCGUCAGCUCGUGUCGUGAGAUUUGGGUUA